rnacentral:rRNA from 1 species
CCGGGUUGAUCCUGCCAGUAGUCAUAUGCUUGUCUCAAAGAUUAAGCCAUGCAUGUGUAAGUAUGAACUAAUUCAGACGGUGAAAGUGCGAUGGCUACUUAAAUCAGUUAUAGUUUGUUUGAUGGUACCUCCUACUCGGAUAACCAUAGUAAUUCUAGAGCUAAUACGUGCAACAAACCCUGACUUCCGGAAGGAACGCAUUUAUUAGAUAAAAGGUCGACGCAGGAUCGUCCCGUUGCUUUGAUGAUUCAUGAUUACUCGACGGAUUGCACGGCCUCAGUGCCGGGGACGCAUCAUUCAAAAUUUUGCCCUAUCAACUUUUGAUGGUAGGAUAGAGACCUACCAUGGUGGUGACGGGUGACGGAGAAUUAAGGUUCGAUUCCAAAGAGGGAGCCUGAGAAACGGCUACCAGAUCCAAGGAAGGCAGUAGGCGCGCAAAUUACUCAAUCCUGGCACGGGGAGGUAGUGACAAUAAAUAACAAAACCGAGCUCUUUCGAGUCUAGUAUUUGGAAUGAGCAUAAUCUAAAUCCCUUAACAAUGAUCCAUUGAGGGCAAGUCUAGUGCCAACAGCCGCGGUAAUUCCAGCGCCAAUAGCGUAUAUUUAAGCUGUUGUAGUUAAAAAGCUCGUAGUUGAACCUCGGGGCGCUACGAGCGGUCCGCCUUCCGGUGUGCACCUUUCCUCCCGCCCCUUCUGCCGGCAUUACGCUCCUGGCCUUAACUAGUCGGGUCGUGCUUCCGGCACGGUUACUUUAAAGAAAUUAGAGUGCUCAAAGCAAGCCUAAGCUCUGUAUACAUGAUAGCAUGUAUUAUAGUCUAUAUUUUUGGAUUGAUUUAGUCAUUUUAUCUUCACAAAUCUGCAUAUAUGGAUAUAUAUUCUUUGAUUAUAUUGUUGUUUUACCUACAUUUGCGGGAAUGGAGGUCUACACCUUGUUUCGUUGUAAUUGUAGGUAAAAUGGAACGUUUUGGACCAAAAUGGAGCUAAGGAAGUUAAGGAGUCAUUGGAGCUACAUUUUGGAGCUUUGAGAAGAUAUCACGAAGCAUGGAAAUGAUUAAGAAGAUUAAUUUUGGACCAGAUUCGAGAUGAUUUACAUUCAGUUGAGAUUCACCUCGGUCAGCUACAGUACCACCUUGACCGAGGUGAUCUUGAGGAGCGUCCUGAUCGAGGCGAACACCCUGCUGCCGGCGAGAUCUUUAUUUUUUUGUUGAGAUCUUCUAUUUUUGGAAGGAGAAUAUCAUAUAUUUUUUGCUGGAGUUCUAGAAGGAAGAUAU